GGGCUGUGUGACCUUGGACAAGUCUGAGCCUCAGCUGAUUCACAUGAGGAGUUGGAAGGAGUCCCUAAUACCCUCUCACUGGAUUUAUGAGUGCCUAAGAGGGGGUCCUGUUUAUAGUGUAUGGAGUUACAGCCUCCCAAGACUGGAAGCGGUGAAGAAGAUCCUCCAGGGCCUGGCACUGAGGACACACGAUGGGGAGGGGACUGUGCUCAAGAAAAAUACAGACCGGACACUAGCUAACCUUACCUGCCUGCUCCACCUUCAAAGGGCAGAGAGCACCAACAGUGGGAGACUUCAGGCUGGACACUUUACUCAGGUAACCUACUGCAGCUGGUGAAGUGGGCAAGGCAGGAUGGACACACCCAUGGAAACAGAGACCCAAAGUCUUGGAAGUAGGUGACUUGCCCAAGCCCCUCAGUCACCCGGUGUGUUAUUGAAGCAAGCUAUGACUGUGACCCUGGCUCAAUUUAGAGCUCUUUCCUCUGUGCUGAGUCAGUCUGUAGUUUGUGCUUUGGCUCAUGCCGGGUCCUCCUGGUCUUAUAAGGCCAAGAGACUCCCUUGAGCUUUGGCCGUUAUCUGGACCCCUGGCGAGGUUCCAGGCUCCUGUCUGAGCCCUCUGCUUCUGAGAUGUGCCGGAGAGGAGCCUGCCUGGCUAACACGAUCGGGCACCGAGGUCCUGAAAGGCGGUGGCGCGCCCCUGACCAUGGUGCUGAAAUGGCCG
rnacentral:lncRNA from 1 species